rnacentral:rRNA from 1 species
AACGGCUGGCGGCGUGCCUAAUACAUGCAAGUCGAACGGUCUUUCUAUGGAAGCUUGCUUCCACUGAGAAGAUAGUGGCGAACGGGUGAGUAACACGUGGGUAACCUGCCCAUAAGAGGGGGAUAACAUCCGGAAACGGGUGCUAAUACCGCAUAGUUUUCUUGAUCGCAUGAUCGGGAAAGGAAAGACGGCCUUUGUGCUGUCGCUUAUGGAUGGACCCGCGGCGUAUUAGUUAGUUGGUGAGGUAACGGCUCACCAAGACGAUGAUACGUAGCCGACCUGAGAGGGUGAUCGGCCACAUUGGGACUGAGACACGGCCCAAACUCCUACGGGAGGCAGCAGUAGGGAAUCUUCCGCAAUGGACGAAAGUCUGACGGAGCAACGCCGCGUGAGUGAAGAAAGGUUUUCGGAUCGUAAAACUCUGUUGUCAGAGAAGAACAAGUUGGAGAGUAACUGCUCCAGCCUUGACGGUAUCUGACCAGAAAGCCACGGCUAACUACGUGCCAGCAGCGGC